GGUCAUCCUAAGACAGAGCAGAAAGAAAAGCUACUACGCUAAAAUUAAACUGCUUCCAGUGCUCCCAGUGCCCACCAAAGUAUGUGAGCAAAAAAAAGAAGGAUUUUUUUUUCUUUUUCCUUUUGUGUGUGUGCGUAUUGUAGGCUAUGCAUUGUGAGUAUGUAGAUAACAGCACUAUCACUGUGAUUAUUUAGUAACAACAUUGUAUUAUUUUUGUAUCAUGAUAUAUUCACAAUGCUCUUAUAACAGAUUAUUUAAAUACACUUUAGCUUACUUAGCACUAGUACUAUUUAAUUUGUCUCCCGUCUUGGAAUUAGUGUGGGACCCACCGAUAUUGGUAUACUGUGAAGUAGUGGCGAGCUUAACACAAUAUGACCAUAUGGUGGAUCUGAAUCCCCAUAUUUGUUUGCUGUGAUAGGUGAAUUUAAGUAGCUUUGUAAAAUGUAAAACUGUAUUUGUGUGUCUGUGCUGUUCCUUAAUCUGUGUCAUGUAUAAAUUUUGAUUUCUACAACAGCACAACUGCUGAGAAGUGCAUAUUCCAGGUUUGUGUGUGUAUGUGUGUGUGUUUAUGUGUUAUGCAGUUUGUGUGUGUAUUUAUGCAUUAGGCUGUGUGUGUGUGUGUGUGUGUGUGUGUGUGUGUGAAUUUAUGCAUUACAAUGUGUGUGUGUGUGUGUGUGUUUAUGCGUUAUGCAGUUUGUGUAUUUAUGCAUUAGGCUGUGUGUGUAUGUGUGUUCAUGCGUUAUGCAGUUUCUUUGUGUAUUUAUGCAUUACGCUGUGUGUGUGUGUUUAUGCGUUAUGCAGUUUGUUUGUGUAUUUAUGCAUUAGGCUGUAUGUGUGUGUGUUUAUGCGUUAUGCAGUUUGUGUGUGUGUAUUUAUGCAUUAGGCUGUGUGUGUGUGUGUGUGUGUGUGUGUGUUUAUGCAUUAUGCAGUUUGUGUGUGUAUUUAUGCAUUAGGCUGUGUGUGUGUGGUGUGUAUGUGUAUGUGUUUAUGCAGUAUGCUGUUUGUGUGUAUAUAUUAAAACCCAUAAUCAGUAGGCAAAAAGUGUGCAAUUAAUUAUUAUAGCCACUUUGAUUCUCCAAACACACAAUAACGUGCUAAUGCUUACUGUAAUACCAAAAAUAACCAAACUUUUUUUUUAAAUAACCUGUAAUUUCAUAGUUGCCAGCUGUCCCGUCAGCGUGUGUGUAUAAAGUAGCCUGUGUGUAUUCAGCAGUCUAUCUGUGUGUGUUCAGCAGUGUGUGUAUUCAGCUGUCUUUGUGCGUGUAUUCAGCAGUCUGUGUGUGUAUUCAGCAGCCUGUAUGUAUUCAGCAGUCUGCGUAGGUAUUCAGCAUUCUGUGUGUAUUCAGCAGUCUGUGUGUGUUCAGCAGUGUGUGUAUUCAGCUGUCUGUAUGUAUUCAGCAGUCUGUGUGUGUGUAUUCAGCAGCCUGCAUGUAUUCAGCAGUCUGCGUAGGUAUUCAGCAUUCUGUGUGUAUUCAGCAGUCUGUGUGUGUUCAGCAGUGUGUGUAUUCAGCUGUCUGUAUGUAUUCAGCAGUCUGUGUGUGUGUAUUCAGCAGCCUGCAUGUAUUCAGCAGUCUGCGUAGGUAUUCAGCAUUCUGUGUGUAUUCAGCAGUCUGUGUGUGUUCAGCAGUGUGUGUAUUCAGCUGUCUGUAUGUAUUCAGCAGUCUGUGUGUGUGUAUUCAGCAGCCUGUAUGUAUUCAGCAGUCUGUGUGUGUGUAUUCAGCAGUCUGCGUAGGUAUUCAGCAUUCUGUGUGUAUUCAGCAGUCUAUGAGUGUGUGAAUUCAGCAGUCUCUGUGUGUGUGUGUGUGUGUAUUGUAUGUAUGCACUCUGUAUGUGGCAAUUCCGCAGCCUGUGUAUAUUCAGCAGUCUGUCUGUGUGUACUUUUUUCAAAUGUUGGCUAUGUGAUCACCCUAAAAAAAUAAUUAUUCAAAAAUAGUGCAAAUCAAUUUGUAAUAACAAGGACAUUUAGCAUAACUCCAAAUCAAAAGUGGUAUAAAUGCCACUUUAGCUGUUAGGGAGGAUCAAUUCCUGAGUAUACGUUGUAUCCAAACUUCCAUAAAUCAUAGUAUGCCGUGAGAAAACCAGCGCUCUGGAUAUCAGGUAAAAAAAAGCUUUAACUGAAGAGAAUCUCCAAAAAUGUAAAUACUAAAAAUGAAAUAUCAGACACAGAGAAUAGAAGGUUUAUUCAGACGAAAAUAAAAAAAACGAAAUUGCAAAAUUGAGGUCAAAAUAGUUGAUCUGAAUUUUUUUUUAACUUAGCACAGUUCACAGCUAAGUUAUUUUAGGUGUUUAGGGAAUGUACUUCUAUCAGAAUAGUAUCUCAUGAGGCACCAGCACAAUGUAUAUUUGACUACGGUGGCAGAAAUCCUUGCACUGACCCUGUAGAUAAGUCCUCUCUACACCAUCACUAUCACUUCGCAUGAAUGACCUGCUCUCACUUUUAGCUCUGAGAGUGUCUUAGAAUUGCGGUGAUUUAUAGACAUUGUUGCAGCUGUAGACCAGCCCCUCAGAGCUGUCAAUCAGGCUGCCGGAAUGUUCAAUUUUGUCCUAGAUGUGCACGCAGUUUAAAUACAUUGACUACUGUGUGUACUUCCAUUGUAGCAUAUUCUCACAAACCUAGACCUCCGAGGAUACUGAGGGCAGCCUGAGAAUAUAAUCCAGUCACCACUUGACCACCACAGCAAAGCGAAUAAGUGAGCUGACCACGGAGGAGGACAAUGAUGACACUGGGAGAGGAAGUUCACUGAC